UGAGGGAAAGGCGAAAAGAACCCCGGCGAGGGGAGUGAAAAAGAACCUGAAACCGUGUACGUACAAGCAGUGGGAGCCUCUUAAUGGGGUGACUGCGUACCUUUUGUAUAAUGGGUCAGCGACUUAUAUUCUGUAGCAAGGUUAACCGAAUAGGGGAGCCGAAGGGAAACCGAGUCUUAACUGGGCGUUAAGUUGCAGGGUAUAGACCCGAAACCCGGUGAUCUAGCCAUGGGCAGGUUGAAGGUUGGGUAACACUAACUGGAGGACCGAACCGACUAAUGUUGAAAAAUUAGCGGAUGACUUGUGGCUGGGGGUGAAAGGCCAAUCAAACCGGGAGAUAGCUGGUUCUCCCCGAAAGCUAUUUAGGUAGCGCCUCGUGAAUUCAUCUCCGGGGGUAGAGCACUGUUUCGGCAAGGGGGUCAUCCCGACUUACCAACCCGAUGCAAACUGCGAAUACCGGAGAAUGUUAUCACGGGAGACACACGGCGGGUGCUAACGUCCGUCGUGAAGAGGGAAACAACCCAGACCGCCAGCUAAGGUCCCAAAGUCAUGGUUAAGUGGGAAACGAUGUGGGAAGGCCCAGACAGCCAGGAUGUUGGCUUAGAAGCAGCCAUCAUUUAAAGAAAGCGUAAUAGCUCACUGGUCGAGUCGGCCUGCGCGGAAGAUGUAACGGGGCUAAACCAUGCACCGAAGCUGCGGCAGCGACACUAUGUGUUGUUGGGUAGGGGAGCGUUCUGUAAGCCUGUGAAGGUGGCCUGUGAGGGUUGCUGGAGGUAUCAGAAGUGCGAAUGCUGACAUAAGUAACGAUAAAGCGGGUGAAAAGCCCGCUCGCCGGAAGACCAAGGGUUCCUGUCCAACGUUAAUCGGGGCAGGGUGAGUCGACCCCUAAGGCGAGGCCGAAAGGCGUAGUCGAUGGGAAACAGGUUAAUAUUCCUGUACUUGGUGUUACUGCGAAGGGGGGACGGAGAAGGCUAUGUUGGCCGGGCGACGGUUGUCCCGGUUUAAGCGUGUAGGCUGGUUUUCCAGGCAAAUCCGGAAAACCAAGGCUGAGGCGUGAUGACGAGGCACUACGGUGCUGAAGCGACAAAUGCCCUGCUUCCAGGAAAAGCCUCUAAGCAUCAGGUAACAUCAAAUCGUACCCCAAACCGACACAGGUGGUCAGGUAGAGAAUACCAAGGCGCUUGAGAGAACUCGGGUGAAGGAACUAGGCAAAAUGGUGCCGUAACUUCGGGAGAAGGCACGCUGAUAUGUAGGUGAAGCGACUUGCUCGUGGAGCUGAAAUCAGUCGAAGAUACCAGCUGGCUGCAACUGUUUAUUAAAAACACAGCACUGUGCAAACACGAAAGUGGACGUAUACGGUGUGACGCCUGCCCGGUGCCGGAAGGUUAAUUGAUGGGGUUAGCGGCAACGCGAAGCUCUUGAUCGAAGCCCCGGUAAACGGCGGCCGUAACUAUAACGGUCCUAAGGUAGCGAAAUUCCUUGUCGGGUAAGUUCCGACCUGCACGAAUGGCGUAAUGAUGGCCAGGCUGUCUCCACCCGAGACUCAGUGAAAUUGAACUCGCUGUGAAGAUGCAGUGUACCCGCGGCAAGACGGAAAGACCCCGUGAACCUUUACUAUAGCUUGACACUGAACAUUGAGCCUUGAUGUGUAGGAUAGGUGGGAGGCUUUGAAGUGUGGACGCCAGUCUGCAUGGAGCCGACCUUGAAAUACCACCCUUUAAUGUUUGAUGUUCUAACGUGGGCCCGUAAUCCGGGUUGCGGACAGUGUCUGGUGGGUAGUUUGACUGGGGCGGUCUCCUCCUAAAGAGUAACGGAGGAGCACGAAGGUUGGCUAAUCCUGGUCGGACAUCAGGAGGUUAGUGCAAUGGCAUAAGCCAGCUUGACUGCGAGCGUGACGGCGCGAGCAGGUGCGAAAGCAGGUCAUAGUGAUCCGGUGGUUCUGAAUGGAAGGGCCAUCGCUCAACGGAUAAAAGGUACUCCGGGGAUAACAGGCUGAUACCGCCCAAGAGUUCAUAUCGACGGCGGUGUUUGGCACCUCGAUGUCGGCUCAUCACAUCCUGGGGCUGAAGUAGGUCCCAAGGGUAUGGCUGUUCGCCAUUUAAAGUGGUACGCGAGCUGGGUUUAGAACGUCGUGAGACAGUUCGGUCCCUAUCUGCCGUGGGCGCUGGAGAACUGAGGGGGGCUGCUCCUAGUACGAGAGGACCGGAGUGGACGCAUCACUGGUGUUCGGGUUGUCAUGCCAAUGGCACUGCCCGGUAGCUAAAUGCGGAAGAGAUAAGUGCUGAAAGCAUCUAAGCACGAAACUUGCCCCGAGAUGAGUUCUCCCUGACUCCUUGAGAGUCCUGAAGGAACGUUGAAGACGACGACGUUGAUAGGCCGGGUGUGUAAGCGCAGCGAUGCGUUGAGCUAACCGGUACUAAUGAACCGUGAGGCUUAACCUU
rnacentral:rRNA from 1 species